rnacentral:rRNA from 1 species
UACGUAGGGUGCGAGCGUUUGUCCGGAAUUAUUGGGCGUAAAGGGCUCGUAGGCGGUUUGUCGCGUCGGGAGUGAAAACUCAGGGCUUAACCCUGAGCCUGCUUCCGAUACGGGCAGACUAGAGGUAUGCAGGGGAGAACGGAAUUCCUGGUGUAGCGGUGAAAUGCGCAGAUAUCAGGAGGAACACCGGUGGCGAAGGCGGUUCUCUGGGCAUUACCUGACGUGAGGAGCGAAAGUGUGGGGAGCGAACAGG